ensembl:snRNA U6 U6 spliceosomal RNA
AAGCUCACUUUGGCAGCACAUAUACUAAAAUUGGAAUGCCCCAGAGAUUAGGGUGGCCCCCUUUGCAAGAAUGAUACACAAAUUCAUGAAGCAUUCCAUAUUUUU